AAGAUGAAUAACUUUUAUUCACCAGGAUCUAGCAGGUAUCAGUGCAGGCCUUUCAGAGUUGGAGGCAAAGAGGAGAGAUCAUCAGCAAUGGAAGGGGUUCUCCAGAAGAUACGAGCAAAACACAAGUUUCUUUGUCU